rnacentral:rRNA from 1 species
UACGGAGGGGGACUAGCGUUGUUCGGAAUUACUGGGCGUAAAGCGCACGUAGGCGGAUUUGUAAGUCAGGGGUGAAAUCCCGGGGCUCAACCUCGGAACUGCCUUUGAUACUGCAAAUCUCGAGUCCGGAAGAGGUGAGUGGAAUUCCUAGUGUAGAGGUGAAAUUCGUAGAUAUUAGGAAGAACACCAGUGGCGAAGGCGGCUCACUGGUCCGGUACUGACGCUGAGGUGCGAAAGCGUGGGGAGCAAACAGGG